rnacentral:rRNA from 1 species
ACUCCUACGGGAGGCAGCAGUGGGGAAUAUUGCACAAUGGGGGAAACCCUGAUGCAGCCAUGCCGCGUGUGUGAAGAAGGCCUUCGGGUUGUAAAGCACUUUCAGUAGGGAGGAAGGUAGUGUAGUUAACACCUGCAUUAUUUGACGUUACCUACAGAAGAAGCACCGGCUAACUCCGUGCCAGCAGCCGCGGUAAUACGGAGGGUGCGAGCGUUAAUCGGAAUUACUGGGCGUAAAGCGCAUGCAGGCGGCCUGUUAAGUCAGAUGUGAAAGCCCGGGGCUUAACCUCGGAAUUGCAUUUGAAACUGGCAGGCUAGAGUCUUGUAGAGGGGGGUAGAAUUUCAGGUGUAGCGGUGAAAUGCGUAGAGAUCUGAAGGAAUACCAGUGGCGAAGGCGGCCCCCUGGACAAAGACUGACGCUCAGAUGCGAAAGCGUGGGGAGCAAACAGGAUUAGAUACCCUGGUAGGAUAG